rnacentral:rRNA from 1 species
UACGGGGGGGCAAGCGUUGUUCGGAAUUACUGGGCGUAAAGGGCUCGUAGGCGGCCAACUAAGUCAGACGUGAAAUCCCUCGGCUUAACCGGGGAACUGCGUCUGAUACUGGAUGGCUGGAGGUUGGGAGAGGGAUGCGGAAUUCCAGGUGUAGCGGUGAAAUGCGCAGAUAUCAGGAGGAACACCGGUGGCGAAGGCGGGUCUCUGGGACGGUACUGACGCUGAUGCGCGAAAGCCAGGGGAGCGAACGGG